rnacentral:rRNA from 1 species
AUAGCGUAUAUUAAAGUUGUUGUGGUUAAAAAGCUCGUAGUUGAACCUUGGGCCUGGCUGGCCGGUCCGCCUCACCGCGUGCACUGGUCCGGCCGGGCCUUUCCCUCUGCGGAACCCCAUGCCCUUCACUGGGUGUGGCGGGGAAACAGGACUUUUACUUUGAAAAAAUUAGAGUGCUCAAGGCAGGCCUAUGCUCGAAUACAUUAGCAUGGAAUAAUAGAAUAAGACGUGUGGUUCUAUUUUGUUGGUUUCUAGGACCGUCGUAAUGAUUAAUAUGGACAGUCGGGGGCAUCAGUAUUCAAUUGUCAGAGGUGAAAUUCUUGGAUUUAUUGAAGACUAACUACUG